UGCGCACAGCUACCCCGAUGAAAAUGGUUGUCAGCCGUUCGGGACAUGGUUGCAGCAGAAUGUCUGUAAAACGAUAGCUUUACAGGCAAGUCCAGUUUAUGUACGAGAGUACAUGAGAGGAGAGGGAAACCCUCAAACGCAGCUGUGGUACUUAUGCUGCUGCUCUGAAAUGCACAGAACUUGCCGCUGCAAUAAAAGACGCUCCUGUGGAGAAUAAUCCUCAUACCGGCAGGCGGAACUGCAGGGUCACUGAGGAAAACCAUUCAAUGCAGUUUGCUUUGAAACGGAUAAAACCGUGUAUAAGACAAGUAGCUGGUGAAAGUAGGGAUAGAGCAGUAGUUGCCUGCUAAGCAACGAAACUGAAUGACUCCUGAAAUUUGCGUGUAAGCAGUCACGCACAGGCUUUGAGAGAAAUCUACGGUAAGCAGUUACGGGGUCGCUACCUGUGGCUCAGGCUUGUCGUUCUGUUGGCGGAAUAUCAGAGAAAGCAGCAAAGGCAGAGCGAAGGCUCAGCUGUGUGC
rnacentral:sRNA from 1 species